UGUAAUAGUUUGGUAGCUCGAGGGUGGUUGGCUACUCCCCACGUUUGAAAGGGGGUGGUCCUGUGACAGUAUUUGAAACACUAAUGUUUGCAGUCGCAUUCGCAGCAUUGAUUGUAUCAAUACUAUCAUCAAACCAUAAAAAAUAACCCAUCCUUGAGUUAACGGCUCAGAUGGGUUAUCGAUACCUAAUGCAGCCAAUCCCCUUGUAGGGACCGACUAUUAUAUUGACCGCUUGAUGUUACAGCAUCAAGU
rnacentral:sRNA from 1 species